GCGUCUCUCCUCCUCAGAUCAUCAAUCUCCUGCUCCAGUCGCUUCAAGAGUCCUUCAGCUUCACUCACUGCAGUCUUUUCCUGAUCUCUGAUCAGCUGUGUCACCUCAGAUCGUCUUCUCUCAAUGGAUGUGAUCAACGUCACACUCCACAUCUCCAGGUCCAGCAUAACUGGGAGAAGGUCGACCAAUCUGGAGUCUUGUAUUCUUCAGCAUCUCCACCAUCUGAGCAAACACCACAUUCUUAUUUAAAACAGGUCUUGUAGUGAAGGUCUGUCUGCAUUGAGGGCAGCUGUAGUCUCUCUUCUGAUCAUCUUGAUCCCAGCAGUCUGUAAUACAGCUCAUACAGUAACUGUGUCCACAGGGAAUGGUCACUGGAUCCUUCAGUAGAUCCAGACAUACUGA